rnacentral:tRNA from 1 species
CGGGGUGUAGCGCAGCUUGGUAGCGCGCAUCGUUCGGGACGAUGAGGCCGCGAGUUCAAAUCUCGCCACCCCGACCA